rnacentral:rRNA from 1 species
GAUGAACGCUGGCGGCGUGCCUAAUACAUGCAAGUCGAGCGAACGGACGAGAAGCUUGCUUCUCUGAUGUUAGCGGCGGACGGGUGAGUAACACGUGGAUAACCUACCUAUAAGACUGGGAUAACUUCGGGAAACCGGAGCUAAUACCGGAUAAUAUUUUGAACCGCAUGGUUCAAAAGUGAAAGACGGUCUUGCUGUCACUUAUAGAUGGAUCCGCGCUGCAUUAGCCAGUUGGUAAGGUAACGGCUUACCAAGGCAACGAUGCAUAGCCGACCUGAGAGGGUGAUCGGCCACACUGGAACUGAGACACGGUCCAGACUCCUACGGGAGGCAGCAGUAGGGAAUCUUCCGCAAUGGGUGAAAGCCUGACGGAGCAACGCCGCGUGAGUGAUGAAGGUCUUCGGAUCGUAAAACUCUGUUAUUAGGGAAGAACAUAUGUGUAAGUAACUGUGCACAUCUUGACGGUACCUAAUCAGAAAGCCACGGCUAACUACGUG